AAGACCUUGCGCUUUUGGAGCGGCCGAUGCCUGAUUAGCUAGUUGGUGGGGUAAUGGCCUACCAAAGCUUCGAUCAGUAGCUGGUCUGAGAGGACGGCCGGCCACACUGGGACUGAGACACGGCCCAGACUCCUACGGGAGGCAGCAGUGGGGAAUUUUGGACAAUGGGCGCAAGCCUGAUCCAGCCAUGCCGCGUGAGUGAAGAAGGCCUUCGGGUUGUAAAGCUCUUUCAGCCGGGAAGAAAAGGUUGCGAUUAAUAAUCGCAAUUUAUGACGGUACCGGAAGAAGAAGCACCGGCUAACUACGUGCCAGCAGCCGCGGUAAUACGUAGGGUGCGAGCGUUAAUCGGAAUUACUGGGCGUAAAGGGUGCGCAGGCGGUUUUGUAAGUCAGAUGUGAAAUCCCCGGGCUUAACCUGGGAACU
rnacentral:rRNA from 1 species